rnacentral:tRNA from 1 species
AUUUAUAUAGUUUAAAAAAUUAAAACAUUAUAUUUUCAAUAUAAAAAUAAUUACAACAUUAUUUAUAAAUU